rnacentral:tRNA from 1 species
GUCUUCGUAGCCCAAUCUGGCAGAGGCUGCCGGCUUAAAACCGGUGUAGUGCAGGUUCGAACCCUGUCGAAGACACCA